rnacentral:misc_RNA from 1 species
UUUCCGUAGGUGAACCUGCGGAAGGAUCAUUCAUAAUAAGUGUUUUAUGGCACUUUUUUAAAUCCAUAUCCACCUUGUGUGCAAUGUCAGGGUUGAUUUUUCUCUCGCGAGGAUCAGCCCCAAACAUCAACUAUAUCUCAACUCUUUGUCUGAAAAAUAUUAUGAAUAAAACAAUUCAAAAUACAACUUUCAACAACGGAUCUCUUGGCUCUC